UCGGGAAUUUUGGGCAAUGGGCGAAAGCCUGACCCAGCAACGCCGCGUGAGGGAUGAAGUAUUUCGGUAUGUAAACCUCGAAAGAAUGGGAAGAAUAAAUGACGGUACCAUUUAUAAGCUCCGGCUAACUACGUGCCAGCAGCCGCGGUAAUACGUAGGGAGCAAGCGUUGUUCGGAUUUACUGGGCGUAAAGGGCGCGUAGGCGGCGCGGUAAGUCACUUGUGAAAUCUCUGAGCUUAACUCAGAACGGCCAAGUGAUACUGCUGUGCUAGAGUGCGGAAGAGGCAACCGGAAUUCUUGGUGUAGCGGUGAAAUGCGUAGAUAUCAAGAGGAACACCUGAGGCGAAGGCGGGUUGCUGAGCCGACACUGACGCUGAUGCGCGAAAGCGUGGGUAGCAAACA
rnacentral:rRNA from 1 species